rnacentral:rRNA from 1 species
CGAAAGUGAGAGUAAUACUCGAUAGUAUUAAAUAGCUCAAGCUAUUUAAUUAAAGUUCAGGCGCUUCGGGAGGGGUCUAUGGNCUAUCAGCUAGUUGGUAAAGGUAAUGGCUUACCAAGGCUACGACGGGUAUCGGGUGUGAGAGCAUGACCCGACUCACUGGGACUGAGAUACUGCCCAGACUCCUACGGGAGGCUGCAGUCAAGAAUAUUCCUCAAUGGACGAAAGUCUGAAGGAGCGACGCCGCGUGUACGAAGAAGCCUUUCGGGGUGUAAAGUACUUUUAUUAGGGAUGAAACAAUGACAGUACCUAAUGAAUAAGGGGCUGCUAACCUCGUGCCAGCAGCAGCGGUAAUACGAGGGCCCCAAGCGUUAUCCGGAUUUAUUGGGCGUAAAGCGUCCGCAGACGGUUUGUCGCAUCUCCUGUUAAAUCCUCUGGCUCAACCAGGGGGCUGCGGGAGAGAUGGAUAAACUAGAGACUGGAAGAGGCAAGAGGAAUUGCUGGUGUAGGGGUUAAAUCCGUUAAUAUCAGCAGGAACACUCAAUGCGAAGGCAACUUGCUGGGACAGUUCUGACGUUCAGGGACGAAAGCGUGGGGAGCGAAUGGGAUUAGAUACCCCAGUAGUCCACGCCGUAAACGAUGGAUGCUAAGUAUUGGAAGUAUCGACCCUUUCAGUGCUGUUAAUUUAAGGUAACCCGUUAAGCAUCCCGCCUGGGGAGUACGAGCGCAAGCUUAAAACUCAAAGGAAUAGACGGGGACCCGCACAAGCGGUGGAGCAUGUGGUUUAAUUCGACGAUAAACGAAGAACCUCACCAAGGUUUGACAUCUAGCUGCAUAUCCUGGAAACAGGAAGUCCUUCGAGGGUGCUAGACAGAUGCUGCAUGGUUGCCGUCAGUUCGUGUCGUGAGAUGUACCGUUAAGUCGGAAAACGAACGCAACCCUUAUCUCAUGUUUUACAUGUCAUGAGAGACUGCCCGUUUUAAAUGGGAGGAAGGUGGGGAUGACGUCAAAUCAGCAUGGUUCUUACACCUUGGGCUACACACGUGCUACAAUGGAAAGCACAAAGGGACGCCAAAUCGCGAGAUGGAGCAAACCCCUUAAAACUUUUCUCAGUUCGGAUUGAAGUCUGCAACUGACUUCAUGAAGUUGGAAUCGCUAGUAAUCGUAGGUCAGCUAUACUGCGGUGAUACGUUCUCGGGUCUUGUACUCACCGCCCGUCAAGUCAAGGGAGUUGGUAGUGCCCGA